GACGAACGCUGGCGGUGUGCUUAACACAUGCAAGUCGAACGGAAAGGCCCUGCUUUUGUGGGGUGCUCGAGUGGCGAACGGGUGAGUAACACGUGAGUAACCUGCCCUUGACUUUGGGAUAACUUCAGGAAACUGGGGCUAAUACCGGAUAGGAGCUCCUGCUGCAUGGUGGGGGUUGGAAAGUUUCGGCGGUUGGGGAUGGACUCGCGGCUUAUCAGCUUGUUGGUGGGGUAGUGGCUUACCAAGGCUUUGACGGGUAGCCGGCCUGAGAGGGUGACCGGCCACAUUGGGACUGAGAUACGGCCCAGACUCCUACGGGAGGCAGCAGUGGGGAAUAUUGCACAAUGGGCGGAAGCCUGAUGCAGCAACGCCGCGUGCGGGAUGACGGCCUUCGGGCUGUAAACCGCUUUCGCCUGUGACGAAGCGUGAGUGACGGUAAUGGGUAAAGAAGCACCGGCUAACUACGUG
rnacentral:rRNA from 1 species